rnacentral:rRNA from 1 species
CGGGGUGAGUAAUGUCUGGGAAACUGCCUGAUGGAGGGGGAUAACUGCUGGAAACGGUAGCUAAUACCGCAUAACGUCGCAAGACCAAAGAGGGGGACCUUCGGGCCUCUUGCCAUCGGAUGUGCCCAGAUGGGAUUAGCUAGUAGGUGGGGUAACGGCUCACCUAGGCGCGAUCCCUAGCUGGUCUGAGAGGAUGACCAGCCACACUGGAACUGAGACACGGUCCAG